CGUUAAUGACUUCCACAUGGGUCUCUGGCAUUCUGAGCAUUGUCUGAAAUCUCCAAAUUUAGAAGAAAUAUGAAAAUUGUCAAGCACGCCUUCCUUAGGGGGUAAAACCAACAUUCGCUUGAACUGUUGCAGGUCAAGGCAGCAGUACCACAUGACCAGGCCUUAACCAAUGGUCUGCUUGGGGUUCCUGACAGAUGUGGCCGACAGCCAUCCAGCAUCAUCUUUCAGCUCAUAUAAGGUAAAAGUAAAAGGUUUUCCAGAUUUUAAGCAGUGAAGAAAGAGGACCACUUGUGCUAGCCGCUUAAAAGAGGAGUGGCAACUCGGAGGUUCCAGUAGCCCCUCUAUAGUUUGAACAGAUGAAAAGGUGUCCAUCUUCUCCAUCCACAACAUGGGCCUGGUAUAUGACAGGAAGGGCUCUGACAUGUGGAUGAGAAGCAGCAGCUUUGUGGGGAAGAGUGGAGAGUCAGCCUUCAAAGGAACAGAAACCGAGGAGCAGAAAACAAUCUCAGUUUACCUGCGCACAGGGGGGUUGUGACCGGUGUUUUCUCAAAACACUGCUUUCGUUGUCAUUUUUACUUUAUAUCUUUUAAUAUGCCCUGAAGCCAGUGGUGGGAUUCAGCCAGUUCGCACCACUUUGGCAAAACCGGUAGCUAAUUUUUUGUUGCCCAGGUCCAUAAUGGACCUCCAGAAGCGGCAUCCACACAGAGAAACGGUUGUUUACAGAUUUGAAUCCCACCACUGCCUGAAGCCAAGAUUUCAUUGUUCAUAGGCUAGCUGUUGAGAUGCAAUAGGUAAUGCUGAGCUCGUUUCUGGAUAUUAGUUUUAUUUUUGCUUGGUUUUUUGUAUGCUGCUCAUAUGAACACCAGCAAAUCUCUCCACACAUUCAUGUUGAACUCAUAUUUAAUAUAUAGAUAUACAUAUUCAGCACAGUCCAUUCAUCUUAUAUGAGCAGAUUCAUGGUAUAAUAAUUCUUUGAGCAUGGACUGGGUAUAAUAAAUAUCCUGCUGAGCUCAAACUAAAAAACUGAACCAUAUCUCAGAGGUGAGGUGGGAUGGGGGAAUUGCUGUAGUUAUUUCCUCGUUUAUAAGCUUCUUUUUUCCCUAGGCAUACAUUCCUAGCAGAAGAUUUCUAAAUAGAAUCAUCUGACUAUAGUCUGAGAUUCCUCUCCUCUGGAAACGAUUUGAUGUUUCAUUUUCCUUUGACUCAUUGCAGCUCAUUCCUAAAUUUGGCUAUUAUUUUACAUUCAUCAACCCAAAUUUAUUCUCGGCUGAAUAUAAUGCAUUUGGCAAGCUUCCUGAAACAGAGACCUUACCCAUUUGAGGUUUUGAUAUAUAUAAUUUUCAAAUGGUUUACCAGUCUUGAAUGUCAAUCUGUCCAAUCUAACUAUGGAUUUAGAACUUAGAAAGGCUCAGUUGUAGCAAAAGUACAGGCUUAUGAACGCAGAGCUACUGAGGAUUUGAUUGUUGAAAAUAUGAGAAAAGUGCAUCAGCAUAUGCAGGAGUGCAUAUUACAAUAAGAAAUUAGAGUAUCUGGAAAGUUUCUUAGUCUCAGCAGGGGUUCUAAUGCAAAGCCUAUUGCUGCUUGCAUCUUAACCAGCACUGCCUUUCAGUGUCUGGAAAAUGCUAUAAAAAUCUUUUUGCCAUUUUUUUCCAUAUUUCCUCAUUUUGUGUAACAAGUGUGAUGGCUGGAAAGAAAAAGAAGAACCAAAUUUCUUGUGUCUUUUUGGAGGGUCACUGUGUCUCUGCUUGGUUAGCUUCGUAGGUUACAUGUGCUAUAGUUGGUUCCCAUCUCUCCCUCCAUCUUCAUGGCAUAAUCCUCACCUCUCGCUGUGUCGAUGGAGGAAGCUGGUGAGGAUGCUGUGAUCCAAGAGCUUCCAAGGACCAAGGCUAGAGCAGAGAGAAAGGAGAGGCUGCCUAACAGCAAGAAUGGAGCUGCAGCCCCUGGAGCUGCCAUCUGCUUCUUGUCAAGUUGUUGUGAAGUGCUUGUUCCUGAUGACGGAGGUUGCUGGACAGCAGGGUGAGGAUGCGGUUAUGACAGAUGCUCUGUUUACCAUACUUCAAGCUCUUGUCAGGCUAACACAGGAUGUUAGCUUUUCCCUGGAAAAAAGUGUUGCUUGAUCUUAUGUUCACCUCUUCAUUUAGUGCAUGAAGUCAAAAUCUCCCUUUCUGGGUCGAUCUGUACAUAGGAAAGCCAGAGAAACUUAAAUGAAUUCCCAGGUCAUGGCUUAUUUUAUAGUCUCUCUCAGUUGGUCUUUUACUCAAAAGAUGAAAAGAUUGUAACAUUAAUUCCUUCAGUACGUCCUGGGUCUGACCUCUAUCUGGAAUUACAUCUAUCCCUUGCUUCCAAACACAAUUGUAUCACUGGAACAGGCAUGAACAUAUAAGUCAGGGGAUAGCUAAACUACAGUUUUGUUUAUAUGGCUAUGGAUUUCAGCUUUUAAGCAGACAAACAUCAAGCUGAUUAUCUCACAUCUGACUUAUUUCAACAUAGCCAAGCAAAGCUAAUCUAACAUUCCCAUAGUGGCUGAAAUGUUUGUUCAAGCACACUGUUCGAUCAGCCACCACAUUUACUCUGAGUGCGGCUUCAAUUUGCAUCCACUUUAUGAGAGCCAGGAAGGGUCUAGGUAGAAAAUGCAUAUAUAAUUUUAUCAUACAACAACAGCAAUGCCUUUGAAAUAACAACAACAAAUAUUCAGAAACACCAACAAAGCUGACACUGAAAAGAAAAGAAGCCUACAUGCUUGUUACCCCUUGGCAGAAUUUCUACUGCUCUCAAUUUCAGUGUUGAGAAAUAUUCACAAGAUCAAAACUAAUCUGUUUAUUCUGAGCAUCAACAACACCAGGCUAAACAUCCUGUUAUUGUUGGGUACAUGCUCAUAAAAUGGAACUGUUGUAAAGCAAGAGAUUCAGAGAACUUUCCCAACUAUUUUCUGCCUUCCAUAUAACUUGAAUCUCUUCAACUAUAUUUAUUUAUUGUAUUUUUUUUUUAAAAAAAUAAGGAAACAAUUGUAGCCACCAUUAAAGGUUUAGGCUUAGCAAACUUUCUCAAGAUCAUCCAGUCAGGGUUUUCUGGCUACAGGAAGAUCUGAACGUGGGUCUUCUUGAACUAAAUUAGAUAUGCUAAUCAUUAUGACACCAUGCUGUUAUUUUUAAAGUGAGACAUCUUUUUGCAAAUGCAUCUGAAAGGUGCCUUGGUACCUAUACAGAUACGGCCUUGUCCAAGAAGCAUUUUCCAUACUGCUAAUUUUGUCAUCUAACUUCCUACAAGGAAAAUCCUGCAAAAAUGUCCAGUCAUUGUAUUAAAACCAUAUUUCUUACAGCAAAGGCCCCAUAAAACUCUCUACUUUAACUUUGAUUUUUUUUAAUCAGUGCAUGUGAUUGGUACUUGCUAUGAAUAACAGGUCUGAAGAAUCCCUUUGCAAAGCUCAGGGCUUCCUGGGCAGAUGCUCAGGAACUCUCAGUAAGCAACUUGAUUCGGGAGUGCGGGGGAAAGUAGUAAGAACAAAAAAAGUACUAGAAAAUUUAAAAACUGUAGGUUGCUCCAAAUCCUGUAUUCUUCUUCUCGGUGACUGCCUAACCUCUCUGCGACAGCUCAUGUGAGAGAAAACUGCUUCCAAGAUGGACGCUUUGAUGACUUCAAUGUCUCCCAGCCUAAGGUGCAGUGCUGCAUCUCUGGUCAGUUGUGAGUCUGAGAUGAAGCACUGUAGCUCAGGAAGGGAGAAACAAGGCCACGGAAAGAAAAGGACCAGCCCUGCUCUCCUCUCCCAUGUUUUCAAGUCAAGCACCCAGAGGUAAGAACCCGGGGCAGGUAUGAUCCAGGAGGUAACAACACUUCCACAGGGUUGAGGAACAGCGUGGAGAAAAUGACAGAUUGCAGCAGCGAAUGCUACAAACACCGAAGCCCAUUCUGUCUGGCCAGGCAUCAUGGGGGAAUAUGGUGCAAGGCAACUGGCCUUCUGGUUUGAGAAGAAGUGAAGUUCACAACAGCAUAUAGUUAAAAAAAAAAAAAAAAAAAAAAGCAGAUGACCCAAAUGGACUCCUCUUCUGACCAGGGGCGAGGAGGGUUUCUCAAAUCAUUCAUAUUUUGAAAAAAGGAAUCACAGCCCAGGAAGCAUCGGACUCUUCUAGUUCUACCAAAUCAUCUUCUGACUGCUGCCACCCAGUGGAAAUAGACAUUGAAGGAACCACUACUACGCAGCAGCAGAAGGGAAGGAGCAAAUUAAAGAGAAUCCCACCCAGAUCAGAGCCCAAACUCACUAUGUCCUCGGGGUCCAGUUUUCCCAGGAAUCCCUUAGAAGAUAAGAAGGGGAUUCCUGGAAAUACUGUUCUUGGGGUCAUGGCUCGGCAACUGAUACAAUUGCUCACUUUUAUCACACCAGAGGGAGCCAUAAAAAGAGGCAGAGGGUCAAUGGGAAUAGAAAAACAAGCUCCCUGAAAAUCCAUUGAGAUAUAUAUCCAUUUUCAUUUUAUUAGUUUCCAAGGACCUAACAAACCCAAUCAAAAAUUGUAAAGGGAUUCUCUCAAACCCAUAACUUCUUUUGGGGAUGACGGCCACAGGAUCUGAAUGAAGUACUAAGAGUAUUUAGUACUCUGAAGAGUAAUAGAUGGCAAAACAUCUACUGAUUUCAUUUCAUUUACAUUUUAAUUGGAACUAAAAUUGCCAUUUAAAUCACAUUUUAUUUUAAGGUGCUGAAUUUGCUUGCUCUCCUAUUUUUAAUAUUUUCAUCUUCUUUCACUUUAAGCAGUACAGUGUGGUAACUGAGGAGGCAAUGGCUGUUGUUUUUGAAAGCUACAGGUCAUCUGGGUUCAACCUAUGUACCUCUGGCCUAAAUUAAGAAACUUGGCUUCUUAAGAAAUCAGAGCUAGAGAAAGGCCUUUCUUAGCAGGUGCCACUCACAUUUUGUUUAGAUUGUACCGUUCCUCUACCAACACAAAUAAGCUAGCACAGAUAAGGGAACCAAAGAGGAAUAGCAUGGUUGUGGAAUCCUUGUGUUUUCUGAGCUUGGUUGUUUGCUUGUGGACAUUUUGUUACCUGACUAGAAAAAAAAUCAUUGGUGCUGGAUCACCAAUGCACUGAUGAUGUUACAGAGUCAGAUAAUGAAAUGUCUUCAAGCAAACAUUCAAGUUCAGAGAGUACACCAAGGACUCCACAGUUCAGCCAUGAGCUGCAUGUAUUCUCUUCUAUUGGUAAUAUAGCAGAUAUGUCAUUGGUAUGUACUCUCUCCUGGCUUUCUGAAAUGCUCGAAGACCCGGCUCUGGAGUUUUGCUUGGGGCCCACAAAGCAGCACAAAACCAUGGGGUUGCUUAGUGCCUUGAAACCCCUCCCCUGCCUUUUUGACUGUGAAUUUUAAUUGUUUUAUUUUUGUUUUUAACUGCCUAUUUAUAUAUAGCUUUUUUAUUUUUAUUCUUACUUGUAUAUUACCCAGGGUCACUCUAUGAGGGAAAUGGGCCCCAAUAAUAUCAUAGUUCUUCACCUGGAGGAGAAAUGGAUCAUUUCACACAUCUGUACAUUCAUAUAUUGGUGUCCCAAUCUAGCUCAAUAAAUGAAAGAUGCUUCUUUUUGGGAUUGCAAGGAAUGGUAUGAAACUGUCUUCUUGGUGUUUUACAGUAUGUCUAUGGUUGAACCAUAUUGUUGAAAUUCCUCCUCUCGUUCUCAACAGUCAUUGCAGAAUGGAUAACAGGCAGUACUUAAUCCCUUCUGUGAAGAUUUCUGUGUCAAUAAAGCUUAAAACUUGUUUUUUUUGAAA